UCUCUCUUUCUCCUACCAAAAUGCUCAGGCAGCCCCAUGAUGACCUUUAACCGGUGAGAUAGCAAUUUUGAGAUGAUCUUGAAGAAAUCGUUGCAGAGAGCAAUGGGUCUGUAUUCUGCCACCACCUUCGGAGAUGUGACCUUAGGAAUCAGCCUGAUGUGUGUGGUGUUCAUUGACGUGGAGAUGGAGCCUGUGAGGAAGAACUGUUGGAUCUCCCUAACCACGGCUGGCCCCACCACCUCCCAAUUAGCUUGGAAGAAGCUUGCGGAGAAACCAUCAGGGCCUGGAGCCUUAUCCGCAUGGAUAGCAAACAGAGCGUCCUUGAUUUCGUUUGCGGUAGGGUCUUGGAUCAGUUGUUCAUUCAUUUCUUGAGUUACACAGGGUUUUAGAGCUUUGUUGACUGUUUGAUUUCCAUCAUGAGGUACCGAGGUGAAGAGUUCCGAGUAGAAGUCAUAGAUGACCUUGGAGAUUUGUUCCUCCUCGAACCAGGUGUCGAGAAAAGAGAGUAGCGGUCUGUGGUCUGAGCCUUCGUAUGGGAGGUAUUGGCGUCUACAUGAUGGAUACAGUUCCGUCCAGUCGCUGUUGCUGAUAGCUCUAUCUAACCGACAAUGGACUAGGUCCUCCUGCCUUUUCGUUGUUGUCUACAAUUUCAUUGAAGUCCCCUGUCAAGAACCAGGGCUCACCAGACGGAGGGUUGAGGUCUGAGAUAUCAUUCCAUACCGCUUGUCUCCUAGAUUGAUCUGGUCCCCGUACACAAAGGUGGAAUGAAAGCCCAAGUAUAAGCCUUCUCCUCCUGGGGAGUGUGGUGUGACGAUGCAGUAGUCAUCAAUACAAAGCCAGCUGAGUUCUUUCAGAACUACUGCAUCAGGUUUUUUGUCUCCAUCAGAAAGAUGAUAUCAGGAAAGUUCACCUUAUGAAUCUCCUUUAAAUGCUGGACUGUUGAGGGAUUCCCCAACCCACAACAGUUCCAGCUUGCUACGACUAAGGAACCCGGGGUGGAGGAUCGUGAAAAUCCUUCCCCUUUUUUGUUAUUGCUGGGAUUAAUUUAACUCUUGGUCGUUGACGUAGGUUUGACGGUCCAGCUGCGUGAGAAGUUCCUUGUGAUCCCUUGUUUGUGGGCUGCUGAGAGUUGACCGGGGAUGAUUCUCUUCUAGCUGGUGACUUUUGAGCCUCCAUGAACUUUCUCUUCUUGGAGCUUGCUCCACGUAGUGUUUUCGGGCUCACUAUUACUGAUCUAAGCCUCAGGUUUGAUUCUUUGUCUCCCUAACCGUCUUAACUGAUUAUCCUCAUUUCUAGGUGCAUCAUUGCUUGUAUUGAUCUGAGUUUCCUCUGCAGGGAUGAAGUUUGAUUCCGGACCCGGUAGUAGGUUCCUAACUGGGGGAUUUUGAGAGUUGUUCCCAGGCUGUUGCAGUAUUGGGGAGAUUAUUAUGUUCUGGCGGUGGGUUGUAUUUGCAGCUAAGAUAGAGGCUGCCGCUUUCUCCAUUUCUCCUUUUGCAUCUCCUAUCAUAACCCUUUGUCUGCGAGCCGCUGCUUCGGUUGGAUCAUCACAGCUCAGGUUGCACCGGAGUAUUCAACGGUGUUGGGGAGGAGACUAUGUGAGAUUCCUUCUCUGGUAUUUGGUUUUUCUGUAGUGGACGUACUGCGGGGAGACUGUGUGAGAUUCCUUGUGGCCUUCUCUUCUUUCGACUAACAGACCUCUUGGGGGGAUUUCUGAUGUUUGAGUUGUCUUCUCAGGAGGACGGAUUCUUGUUUGUUUUGUCCUUGCUCGCGCCCCGAAGAUGUUCCCAUAUAUGUCUCUUCUUUGUUGAAACGGGAGUUCCGAGCUGGUCUUUUACCGGAUUCCACUCUGUAGGAGCUUUUGAGGGGCAUUGUGAGCUAUCAUGAGACAGGCACAUGCAGAUGGUGCAGUGGUUUUCAAGUCUUUCGUAAUCCAAGGUAAUCAUAGUCUCCUCUCCUGAGUCAAACUCAACAAUAGUUUGCUUUAUGAGAGGUUUAAGACCAUCUACAAAGA